ensembl:miRNA gga-mir-6640 gga-mir-6640
AAUGUUGGUAAUUAUUUUAUCUGGAAUUGUAGUAGAGUGUAUUAUUAUGGCAUGUGCCUAAUGGCUCUACUGCUUUCUUGUCAGGUGAUAUGAAGGACGACACGACGGAC